rnacentral:rRNA from 1 species
UCUUGCAGAGUGAGUGCUUGAAUAAUUAGAUAUUUAUUUUAGGUUAUGGUACCUUUUGCAUCAUGAUUCUCCGAUAGUUAGAUCAGGCUAUGGAUUACAUGUUAUCUCGAAAGGUUUACGAUUUCAUUUAGUUCUUCAUUAUCAAUCGGUAGUGUUGGUGAAUGGUUGGGUUGUUGUGUAAAUAUCCUGAGAAGCUAAGUGGGUAGUGAUAAAUUAUUCGUGUAGCCUUAUAUCUAGUUUAUAGUUUAGUUAAUUUCGGUUAAAGGUAUCUGGUUGUGCUGGUUAUUUAAAAUAGAGAGUAUUUAUUUAUACUUAAAGGUCUGAGAUUAAGAUUAUCUUUGGUUGAUUAAGCUUAUUUACAUAACUAAUCUUAUGUUGGUAUAUUCUUAUAGUGAUAAACUGUGUAGUAAAUUAUUUUUAUAAUUAUAGAGGAAUAAGUAGGUUGCUGUGAUUUAUAUAAUGUGAUUGUUUUCGGUUAUGGGUCCAACUGUUUAUUAAAGACAUUUCUAUUUGUUAGGUUUAAAUAGUAUAACCUGCCCAGUGAUUAUUUUAUUAUGAGUUAUUAAAUGGCCGCGAUCUCGGAUCGUGCUAAGGUAGCAUAAUAUAUUGCUUUUUGAUUGAGGGCUUGUGAAUGGUUUAUUGAGACUUGUAAAAAAUGACAUUAUAUUCCGAACUUUGUUUAGUGGUGCGGAACCCAUUUUUAUGUUAUAAGACGGAAAGACCCCGAGAUCUUUUAGUUUUAACUUUUGUUUGGGGUAAAUGUAUUUAUUUCAUUUUCUUUUUGAUCCUUUUUAUAGGAUUAAGGUUAAAGUUACCUCGGGGAUAACUGAGUAAAGGAUGGGGAAAGAUCUUAUUAAUCCAUUUGUUACUACCUCGAUGUUGGCUUAGAGAUUCUGGGUGGAGCAGAAGCUACUUAAGAUAGUCUGUC